rnacentral:rRNA from 1 species
UACGUAGGGGGCUAGCGUUGUCCGGAAUCAUUGGGCGUAAAGAGCGUGUAGGCGGUCCGGUAAGUCCGCUGUGAAAGUCGGGGGCUCAACCCUCGAAUGCCGGUGGAUACUGUCGGGCUAGAGUGCGGAAGAGGCGAGUGGAAUUCCUGGUGUAGCGGUGAAAUGCGCAGAGUAUCAGGAGGAACACCUAUUGCGAAGGCAGCUCGCUGGGACGUAACUGACGCUGGAGACGCGAAAGCGUGGGGAGCAAACAGG